GGCCCGAUGCCACGUCGCCGGUAGCUACGAAGAGCUGUGACUGGCAGUGCUAUGAUCAGACUAAGAGUGACUUCUCUGUUUCGCAUUUUGAGAGGAAUCCGUGGAUCUCUAAUCUACUGAUCAUUCGGAGCCGAUUUGUGCGAUUACAUUC